GCAUAUCAAUAAGCGAGGAAAAGAAACUAACAAGGAUUCCCCUAGUAACGGCGAGUGAAGCGGGAAGAGCUCAAAUUUGUAAUCUGGCACUUUCAGUGUCCGAGUUGUAAUCUCGAGAAGUGUUUUCCGCGCCGGACUGCAUACAAGUCUGUUGGAAUACAGCGUCAUAGUGGUGAGAACCCCGUAACUGAUGCAGAUGCCCGGUGCUUUGUGAUACACUUUCGAAGAGUCGAGUUGUUUGGGAAUGCAGCUCAAAUUGGGUGGUAAAUUCCAUCUAAAGCUAAAUAUUGGCGAGAGACCGAUAGCGAACAAGUACCGUGAGGGAAAGAUGAAAAGCACUUUGGAAAGAGAGUUAACAGUACGUGAAAUUGUUGGAAGGGAAACGAUUGAAGUCAGACUUGUUAUCUGGAGUUCAGCCUUUCGGUGUACUCUCCAGUUUACAGGCCAGCAUCAGUUUUCGGGGCGGGAAAAUCGUAAUUUGAAGGUAGCAGCCUAGCUGUGUUAUAGCUUUUUACUGGAUUCCGCUUUGGGGACUGAGGAACGCAGUGUGCUUUUAGCAAUACCCUCGGGUAUUUCACACUUAGGAUGCUGGUGGAAUGGCUUUAAACGACCCGUCUUGAAACACGGACCAAGGAGUCUAACAUGCUUGCGAGUAUUUGGGUGUCAAACCCGGAUGCGCAAUGAAAGUGAAUGAAGGUGGGAUCCGCAAGGUGCACCAUCGACCGAUCUGGAUUUUUUAAGAUGGAUUUGAGUAAGAGCAAUUAUGUUGGGACCCGAAAGAUGGUGAACUAUGCCUGAAUAGGGCGAAGCCAGAGGAAACUCUGGUGGAGGCUCGUAGCGGUUCUGACGUGCAAAUCGAUCGUCAAAUUUGGGUAUAGGGGCGAAAGACUAAUCGAACCAUCUAGUAGCUGGUUCCUGCCGA
rnacentral:rRNA from 1 species